GUUAGAUGUUAAUCUGAUGUGGUGCUCUUGGAGAAGCUUGCCUGAGUUAGGCACUUUCUCAG
rnacentral:lncRNA from 1 species